AUUGAACGCUGGCGACAGGCUUAACACAUGCAAGUCGAGCGGGGGGAGGUAGCUUGCUACCGGACCUAGCGGCGGACGGGUGAGUAAUGCUUAGGAAUCUGCCUAUUAGUGGGGGACAACAUCUCGAAAGGGAUGCUAAUACCGCAUACGUCCUACGGGAGAAAGCAGGGGAUCUUCGGACCUUGCGCUAAUAGAUGAGCCUAAGUCGGAUUAGCUAGUUGGUGGGGUAAAGGCCUACCAAGGCGACGAUCUGUAGCGGGUCUGAGAGGAUGAUCCGGCACACUGGGACUGAGACACGGCCCAGACUCCGACGGGAGGCAGCAGUGGGGAAUAUUGGACAAUGGGGGGAACCCUGAUCCAGCCAUGCCGCGUGUGUGAAGAAGGCCUUAUGGUUGUAAAGCACUUUAAGCGAGGAGGAGGCUACUUUAGUUAAUACCUAGAGAUAGUGGACGUUACUCGCAGAAUAAGCACCGGCUAACUCUGUGCCAGCCGCCGCCGUAA
rnacentral:rRNA from 1 species